rnacentral:rRNA from 1 species
ACCGUGAAAGUGAAGGAACUGGAUUUUUAANUUGGAAAAUANNUUUUGANNNAGAAAAGAUAAAUUUUUUAUNUAAGGUAAAAUUUUAAAGAAANUAAUUUUUUCAGUUGUUUAAAAUUUUGAAAACUUUAAAANUAAAACUAGGAUUAGAUACCCUAUUAUUAUAAAGUGUAGAAAAAUNUAGGUAGUAGUGGAAGGCUUGAAACUUAAAGAAUUUGGCGGUGUUUUAAUCUAACUAGAGGAACUUGCAUUUUUACUCGAAAUUACACGUUUUAUCUUACUUAAAUUAGAGUUUGUAUACCGUCGUAAAAAUAAAACUUUGAAGUAAAUAUUUUAUUUUAUUGAANUAAAAAAUUACAGAUCAAGGUUCAGUGAAUAUUUAAGNUUAAUGUGAGUUACAAUAUUNNUUUAGAUAGAUGGAUAAAUUCUUNNGAAAAGNGGAUUUUGAAGGUGGAUUUAGAAGU